rnacentral:rRNA from 1 species
AUUGAACGCUGGCGGCAGGCCUAACACAUGCAAGUCGAGCGAGCGGCGGACGGGUGAGUAAUGUCUGGGAAACUGCCUGAUGGAGGGGGAUAACUACUGGAAACGGUAGCUAAUACCGCAUACCAUCAGAUGUGCCCAGAUGGGAUUAGCUAGUAGGUGGGGUAACGGCUCACCUAGGCGACGAUCCCUAGCUGGUCUGAGAGGAUGACCGGCCAAACUGGAACAUGAACACGGGCCGAACUCCUACGGAAGGCAGAAGUGGGGAAUAUUGCACAAUGGGCGCAAGCCGGAUGCGGCCAGGCCGGUUGUGUGAAGAAGGCCUUCGGGUUGUAAAGCACUUUCAGCGGGGAGGCGUUACCCGCAGAGGAAGCACCGGCUAACUCCGUGCCAGCAGCCGCGGUAAUUC